rnacentral:snRNA from 1 species
GUGCUCACCUUCACAGCACAGACGCUAAAACUGGAGAAUUUAUAAAUAAGGUUAGCAUGGCCCCUGCCCAAGGAAGGCAUAUACUCAUGAAGCAUUUACUGUUUUU